rnacentral:rRNA from 1 species
CAGCAGCCGCGGUAAUACGGAGGGUGCAAGCGUUAAUCGGAAUUACUGGGCGUAAAGCGCACGCAGGCGGUCUGACAAGUCAGAUGUGAAAUCCCCGGGCUUAACCUGGGAACUGCAUUUGAAACUGUCAGGCUGGAGUCUUGUAGAGGGGGGUAGAAUUCCAGGUGUAGCGGUGAAAUGCGUAGAGAUCUGGAGGAAUACCGGUGGCGAAGGCGGCCCCCUGGACAAAGACUGACGCUCAGGUGCGAAAGCGUGGGGAGCAAACAGGAUUAGAUACCCCCGUAGUCCCUGUCGCUUAUAC